AUGACUCCAACCCUUCACUCCACUCUGAAACUCAGAUGGGUAAAGCUUCUGAUUCAGCAAGGUCUCCUCAACAGAUGACUAGCAUGGCCGCUAAUAGCAGCGCAGCAGAUGACUCUGACCCUUCACUCCACUCUGAAACUCUGAUGGGUAAAGCUUCUGAUCUGUCUCCUCAACAGAUUGAGAGACAGCAUCAAAUUGAAAAUGAGAUUAGUGUGCCAAAACUCAGACGGACAAAAAGUAUCUUGGUAAGUUU